rnacentral:rRNA from 1 species
GACGAGGGAUCCUAGCGUUGCUCAGAAUCAUUGGGCGUAAAGCGGGCGUAGGCGGAUCGAUCAGUCAGGGGUGAAAUCCCAGGGCUCAACCCUGGAACUGCCUUUGAUACUGUCGAUCUGGAGUAUGGAAGAGGUGAGUGGAAUUCCGAGUGUAGAGGUGAAAUUCGUAGAUAUUCGCAAGAACACCAGUGGCGAAGGCGGCUCACUGGCCCGGUACUGACGCUGAGGUGCGAAAGCGUGGGGAGCAAACAGG